CCCGCUGAACUUAAGCAUAUUACUAAGCGGAGGAGAAGAAAUUAACUAAGAUUGCCUUAGUAAGGGCGACUGAACCGGCAAAAGCUCGAAAUUAAAAUCGGAAAUUCAAUGAAUUUUCGAAUUGUAAUCAGGGUGCCCAAAAUACGUGAAGUCGUCUAAUGGUAUCGAAAGACCUGCCAAAGAGGGUGAAAGCCCCGUGCGAUGAUUUCACGAACGCGGGAACUCGAAAAAGAGUCGUGUUGCUUGGAACUGCAGCACUAAGCGGGAGAUAUGAUUCUUCCAAAGCUAAAUAUGGAUGGGAGACCGAUAGAGAACAAGUACUGUGAAGGAAAGAUGAAAAGGACUUUGAAAAGAGAGUGAAAAGAUCUGAAAUCGUUGAGAAGGAAGCGGUUAAAGCUGAUCGAGGUUAUGACAGCGCAACGCGGCCAAAAGUCGCAGAGUGCUGACCAAAAGCCCUGGACAAAAUGAAGUCAGACGGACUAAAAAAGGUGCAAGCCGAAUUGAGCCUGCCUGACUUGAGGGACUAAUGUGAUUUUGUCUAAAAGGCUUUAACCGUCCCGUCUUGAAACACGG
rnacentral:rRNA from 1 species